AAGAAUCAACAGGCUGAACAUGUAAGACGCCGGAGUGCUUUUGAUAAAGAUAAAAAUAAAUAUUUUCUAAAAUUUAGUGCUAUUUUAUUAUAUUUAUCUGCGAUUUCUUCAAAUUUAAGUGCUGCAUACAUUAAUGAGUUUCUGCUGCCUAAAGAUUUUUUUUAGCGUCGAGGCAUAUUGGCUUCAGCUGUAGAAUCAGCUAAAAAUGAAUAUUAAACUCAAGCAAGAUACCACUGAAUGUUAUCGUCAUUUAAUCAAAACUAUGACGGAAUCCUUAGUCCAGAAAUUCUUAGUGCAUUCCUGCAACCCAUACUCGCAGUCUUCAGGGACACAUGGUUCAAGUUGUGUUAUUUUGUGGGGAAAAUCAAAGAAAAGCCGAGUGAGUUCCUGCGAUCCUUGUCGGCGUUCUUCCAGGACACAGAUCUGACGUGGCCCCUCGUCCCCGUGUCUACGGCGUCCACACUGAGACUGCGCUCCAUCACAUGUCUCCAGUGAUCCGAGCUGGCCGCCUUGUUCAGGUCACUCGUGAAGAAUGAUGUGCCCAGCUGCUCGUUCAGAAAAAGUGCAUGGAAAGAGGAGGAGAACAUUGUUUGUCCAAGAUUACCACAAGAAUUCUAUGAAAUAUAUGGAGAACAGAAAAGAGGAAGGGAAGAAACAAAGUGUGUUUCAGUUUGAAAAACACAUAAUUUCUCUGAGAAAGAAAAGUGAACUCUCUCUGAAAAAGAGACUCUGAAGAAGAUACCUUCUACGUGGUGAAUUGGUUGGACUACUCAGAUGAGGUAGGUUCAUGAAGCUAUCAUGC